rnacentral:rRNA from 1 species
AGAGUUUGAUCCUGGCUCAGAAUGAACGCUGGCGGCGUGCCUAACACAUGCAAGUCGGAUGUGCCCGCAAGGGUGCAUGGCAGACGGGUGAGUAACGCGUGGGGAAUCUACCUCUUUGUGGGGAAUAACGCUCCGAAAGGAGUGGUAAUACCGCAUGAGAUCCAUGGCUGGAAUGUUGUGGAUGAAACCUGGGGACCUUCGGGCCUGGGGCAAGGAGAGGAUCCUGCGUCUGAUUAGCUAGUUGGUGAGGUAACGGCCCACCAAGGCAACGAUCAGUAGCCGGCCUGAGAGGGUGAUCGGCCACACUGGAACUGAGACACGGUCCAGACUCCUACGGGAGGCAGCAGUGGGGAAUUUUGCGCAAUGGGCGAAAGCCUGACGCAGCAACGCCGCGUGGGUGAUGAAGGUCUUCGG